UAGGAAAGGGCCAAGGAGCUAGGGGCCUGCACUGCCCAUUGGCAGAGGCCCUGGCUAGAGCCCUCCUUCCAAGCCUGCACUCCUGUGAUGGGAGGAACAGUGGAGCCUGUUGCUAAGAGACAACUCUCAUCCCCCCUCCCCACCACCAUCAGGGAAUCCAUUCUAGAAUUACAACUUCCAAUGAGGUCUCUGGCCUUGGGUACUGGGGAUAAAGAAGGCAAGCUGAUAGAGAGCCCUCCUGAGGAUCAAGGCCAGUGUAUUGCUAGAGAAGCCUGGAAAACACGAGGGACCCCUAAGACUGUGCCCUCUCCGUGCCCAAACAGGCUUCAGUUCUCUCACAAAUCGCCUCAGAGCACUAAGGAUGCAGACUGAGGAUCAGAGCAGUUGGCUGGGGAGGACCCGGAAGACUAGAUUACUACUUCAUCAGACACAGCACAGUACUGUGUGCGGCUAGAUGUGUUUCGGGAUGAGGAUGUGAGCUCGCUUCUUCUGGAGGCAGGACAGCUACCGCGUAAGUCUGUGAUGGAUGGCUGUGUUGGGACGAACAGGGAAAACGGUCUAAAUUAUUCAGCAGUUAAGCAGAAAGCUGUGUGUGUUUAAUAAACUGCUAUACUGUA